UAGCAUGUGUCCAACAUGUCAUUUUCCUUCCGCCUCCCAUUGGAAAGAGGAUAUUUCGCCAUUGCUUUCUUGAAUGCAGCUUUGAGUGCUGAAUAGGCUCGUUGAGGCAGGCGAGUGAUGACAGUUCCCGAGUCUAUUAUAGUUCCAGGUGAUGCAAACACAGAGCUGGGAAUAUUAAGUCGCUUGUUACCAACACUUAUAUCCAAGAGCUUGAAGAAAUAGUACCCUGACUCCUCUAACCCUGAGGUUCCAGGACCAUUUACAAGCGAUGUGAACUUUAAGGAGGAGGAUUGGGAAGUGGCUUUCUCUCCAAAUAGCAGCGAUCCAAUGGAAUUUUCCUCAGGGAGACAGUAACUGAAAACUUUUUUAAACUUCGAAGCUGUUUGAGAUACGGUAGAAAGCUGCCCUUGUCCAAGCCCCAGCAUCCCAUCAGCUCCGCUGCCAAAAUCACCCUCAUUAUUUCUUCCACAACCGAAUUGAAACUUUUGGAACACAUCUGAAGGCUCCAUUGUCAUGGUAUCGCAUCCAUAGUUUCCUACAGAGGUAGAUUUAUCGCCAUAUGUCAUGUUAUAGGUGUUUCCAACAGUACUUGGAAUGCAAGAACCAAAGGAAUAAGUGGAUGAUGCCAACGAGUCGAAAUGCCGAUGGGAGUCUUUAAUCGCUCAUUUAAUUGACACAAUAACAAUUAGCUCAAUUAUUCCGAUAAAAAAAUAUUAGUUUAGUGAUGUAUGAACAACUAUUCAACAAAGAUAAACUUAGUCAUUCACUUUCAUCCAACUCAAUCCCUGAAAAUGUCAAAACUUUAUAUUUUCUUUCAAUUUCCACAAAUUUCUCAGCAAUCGAACACAUGAAAGCUAAAAAUUCCAGAUAAGCCCAAUUAAGUUGAAGCAUGUUGGCAUGGAAAAAAAAAACAAGAAUCAAUAAGAAAAGCCUAGAAUUGUAAUGAAUUACAAAAUAAUUCUCAAAUAAUAAAAAAAAAAUUAAAAGAAAAAUUACAGAUUGAAGCCCUAGAUCACUAUCGUUCAAAUCAUAUACAUAUAGAAAUAGAGAGUGAGAUAGAGUACCUGGGAUGAGAAUGAGAGAGGCACAAAGAAAGAGGAAGUCGAGUGAGAGAGGUAACAAAGGCGGGACGUGAGGAUAUGGUGGUAGGUGACAAUGGUGGUGCGGCAAAGGCACCAAAGGGCACGCAACUUCUGCUAGACCAUGCACCAAGUUGUUGCAUCUCGACUGUAGACCACACACUAAGAGGAAAAAUGAAGGAAAUGAUUAGGUUUUGUGUUUGGGUUUAUACUAGUUAGAUAUGUAUAAAGGGAAGGGUGAACAAAAGGUUUACACAGAGAAAUAAAUGAAGAAGAAAGGUUAUGGUAUUAAGUUAUUUUUUAUUUUUGGUCUUUUGUUUUUUUUAAACCUAUGGAGGUUGACCAGGCAGCAAGAGGAGGGCAUGCUAGGCAUUAAAAAACAACUCAGCCCAAGGUGCAUGAAACACAAAAUAUUUUUGGGGUUAGCAUUGUAAACUUGAAAUUGGCAAACUUAAGUUUUAAAUAUGCUAUUAUUUUGAUAUUGAUAGCCUUAAACCUAAGUUUCCCAUUACCUUACCAAAAGAAGAACUCAAUCGGAAGAGUUAGCGAUGAAAAUACUCAGAGGUCUGCAAGAUAUCCGGAGCAAAUUCGCCAAGAAUAAGAUGAAAAAAAGAGACUAGAAGAAGAGGAAAUGAAGAGAUGAAGAAAUAAAGAAAAGAUAAGAGAAAAAAUUACUUGGGGUAGGAAAGCGAUGUAACCAUGAGCAACCGCCCACUGUAGAAUUCCAGAAGUCUCCGCCACGUGUCCAAGAGAGGGCCCCACUCACAUUAUGGGGUGAACAGUUAUAUACCAUUAAUAUUUUUCCCGCUUAAAAGACCCUAUCAUCGACUCUUUGAAAUAGGAAAAAGGGGCAAGUGAGGUGGCCAUAACCAUGGAUUGAAAAAUCUAGAUAUUAUGUCGAAAUAUCGAAUUUUGGAGGUGGUUGAUACAUUCCAAACCUACUGCAAACCAAUAAAUUUACAGCAACAUAAAACUACUGCAUUCUGUUCAUUCCAAACCUUACAUUAUGCAAGCCACAAACAUUUGAAUGGAAUAUGUUUUCCACUCAGAAUUUUAUUACAAGAGCAAACCAAACAAAUUAAACAUGAAAUGGGUCACCCCACUCCUUAUGCAUCUAUUUGACAUCCUCUACCUGCACUCCUAAUUACCAGACAAAACCAUAAGGAUGGAUUAGGUCUCACGGGGAGCAACCAUUGCUCCUAAACCCUAUCCUUCCUCCUUGUAUGUCAUAUAGAACUGUUAGAGACAAUUGUUGUCUAUUUCCAAUAAUGGUUAAUUCGGGGUUCAUGGUUGAUUUGGAGUUCCCAGCAAAAGCCAAGCAAAGACGAGAUUCAUCACUCCCCCAAACAAUAUUCGUUCCAUUCAAACGUACGUCGGCUCCUCCCCCAAAAUGUAGCACUAUCUCCGGUAGUAACACAUCUUUCCUUCCACUUAAAUUGUAGCAUGUGUCCAAUAUGUCACCUUUCUUCCGCCUCCCAUUGGAAAGAGGAUAUUUCGCCAUUGCUUUCUUGAAUGCAGCUUUGAGUGCUGAAUAGGCUCGUUGAGGCAGGCGAGUGAUGACAGUUCUCGAGUCUAUUAUAGUUCCAGGUGAUGCAAACACCGAGCUGGGAAUAUUCAGUCGCUCGUUACCAACACUUAUAUCCGAGAGAUUGACGAAAUAGUACCCUGACUCCUGUAGGGUUCCAGGACCAUUUACAAGCGAUGUGAACUUUAAGGAGGAGGAUUGGGAAGUGGCU
rnacentral:lncRNA from 1 species